rnacentral:rRNA from 1 species
UUAAGCGACUAAGCGUACACGGUGGAUGCCCUGGCAGUCAGAGGCGAUGAAGGACGUGCUAAUCUGCGAAAAGCGCCGGCGAGGUGAUAUGAACCUUUGACCCGGCGAUGUCCGAAUGGGGAAACCCAGUGUGAUUCGUCACACUAUCGUUAACUGAAUACAUAGGUUAACGAGGCGAACCGGGGGAACUGAAACAUCUAAGUACCCCGAGGAAAAGAAAUCAACCGAGAUUCCCCCAGUAGCGGCGAGCGAACGGGGAGCAGCCCGGAGUCUGAAUCAGCUUGUGUGUUAGUGGAACGGUCUGGAAAGUCCGACGGUACAGGGUGAUAGUCCCGUACACGAAAAUGCACAGGUUGUGAACUCGAAGAGUAGGGCGGGACACGUGGUAUCCUGUCUGAAUAUGGGGGGACCAUCCUCCAAGGCUAAAUACUCCUGACUGACCGAUAGUGAACCAGUACCGUGAGGGAAAGGCGAAAAGAACCCCGGCGAGGGGAGUGAAAAAGAACCUGAAACCGUGUACGUACAAGCAGUGGGAGCCUCUUUAUGGGGUGACUGCGUACCUUUUGUAUAAUGGGUCAGCGACUUAUAUUCUGUAGCAAGGUUAACCGUAUAGGGGAGCCGAAGGGAAACCGAGUCUUAACUGGGCGUUAAGUUGCAGGGUAUAGACCCGAAACCCGGUGAUCUAGCCAUGGGCAGGUUGAAGGUUGGGUAACACUAACUGGAGGACCGAACCGACUAAUGUUGAAAAAUUAGCGGAUGACCUGUGGCUGGGGGUGAAAGGCCAAUCAAACCGGGAGAUAGCUGGUUCUCCCCGAAAGCUAUUUAGGUAGCGCCUCGUGAACUCAUCUUCGGGGGUAGAGCACUGUUUCGGCUAGGGGGCCAUCCCGGCUUACCAACCCGAUGCAAACUACGAAUACCGAAGAAUGUUAUCACGGGAGACACACGGCGGGUGCUAACGUCCGUCGUGAAGAGGGAAACAACCCAGACCGCCAGCUAAGGUCCCAAAGUCAUGGUUAAGUGGGAAACGAUGUGGGAAGGCACAGACAGCCAGGAUGUUGGCUUAGAAGCAGCCAUCAUUUAAAGAAAGCGUAAUAGCUCACUGGUCGAGUCGGCCUGCGCGGAAGAUGUAACGGGGCUAAACCAUGCACCGAAGCUGCGGCAGCGACACUAUGUGUUGUUGGGUAGGGGAGCGUUCUGUAAGCCGUUGAAGGUGGCCUGUGAGGGUUGCUGGAGGUAUCAGAAGUGCGAAUGCUGACAUAAGUAACGAUAAAGCGGGUGAAAAGCCCGCUCGCCGGAAGACCAAGGGUUCCUGUCCAACGUUAAUCGGGGCAGGGUGAGUCGACCCCUAAGGCGAGGCCGAAAGGCGUAGUCGAUGGGAAACAGGUUAAUAUUCCUGUACUUGGUGUUACUGCGAAGGGGGGACGGAGAAGGCUAUGUUAGCCGGGCGACGGUUGUCCCGGUUUAAGCAUGUAGGCGGAGGUUCCAGGUAAAUCCGGUACCUUUUAACGCUGAGGUGUGAUGACGAGGCACUACGGUGCUGAAGUAACAAAUGCCCUGCUUCCAGGAAAAGCCUCUAAGCAUCAGGUAACAUCAAAUCGUACCCCAAACCGACACAGGUGGUCAGGUAGAGAAUACCAAGGCGCUUGAGAGAACUCGGGUGAAGGAACUAGGCAAAAUGGUGCCGUAACUUCGGGAGAAGGCACGCUGAUAUGUAGGUGAAGCCCCUGCGGGUGGAGCUGAAAUCAGUCGAAGAUACCAGCUGGCUGCAACUGUUUAUUAAAAACACAGCACUGUGCAAACACGAAAGUGGACGUAUACGGUGUGACGCCUGCCCGGUGCCGGAAGGUUAAUUGAUGGGGUUAGCGGUAACGCGAAGCUCUUGAUCGAAGCCCCGGUAAACGGCGGCCGUAACUAUAACGGUCCUAAGGUAGCGAAAUUCCUUGUCGGGUAAGUUCCGACCUGCACGAAUGGCGUAAUGAUGGCCAGGCUGUCUCCACCCGAGACUCAGUGAAAUUGAACUCGCUGUGAAGAUGCAGUGUACCCGCGGCAAGACGGAAAGACCCCGUGAACCUUUACUAUAGCUUGACACUGAACACUGGUCCUUGAUGUGUAGGAUAGGUGGGAGGCUUUGAAGCGUGGACGCCAGUCUGCGUGGAGCCAACCUUGAAAUACCACCCUUUAAUGGCUGGUGUUCUAACGUAGACCCGUGAUCCGGGUUGCGGACAGUGUCUGGUGGGUAGUUUGACUGGGGCGGUCUCCUCCCAAAGAGUAACGGAGGAGCACGAAGGUUAGCUAAUCCUGGUCGGACAUCAGGAGGUUAGUGCAAUGGCAUAAGCUAGCUUGACUGCGAGAGUGACGGCUCGAGCAGGUGCGAAAGCAGGUCAUAGUGAUCCGGUGGUUCUGAAUGGAAGGGCCAUCGCUCAACGGAUAAAAGGUACUCCGGGGAUAACAGGCUGAUACCGCCCAAGAGUUCAUAUCGACGGCGGUGUUUGGCACCUCGAUGUCGGCUCAUCACAUCCUGGGGCUGAAGUAGGUCCCAAGG